rnacentral:rRNA from 1 species
CCCUUAGACGUUCUGGGCCGCACGCGCGCUACACUGACGAAGGCAACGAGCUUUCCUUUACCGAAAGGUACGGGUAAUCUUUUGAAACUUCGUCGUGCUGGGGAUAGAUCCUUGCAAUUAUUGAUCUUAAACGAGGAAUUCCUAGUAAGCGCAAGUCAUCAACUUGCGUUGAUUACGUCCCUGCCCUUUGUACACACCGCCCGUCGCUCCUACCGAUUGAAUGGUCCGGUGAAGCGUUCGGACCGUGGCCUUUGGACGGUUCGCCGUCUGUUGGCUGCGGGAAGUUCGUUAAACCUUAUCAUUUAGAGGAAGGAGAAGUCGUAACA